rnacentral:tRNA from 1 species
GCCCUAGUAGCUCAGUGACUUAGAGCAUCGGUCUUGUAAGCCGAACGCCGGAGGUUAAAGUCCCCCCUAGUGCU